UAAUAAUCGAUGAAGGAAAGAGUAAGGUAUAUCAAGUAUAAGAGAGAUGGUGUCGUGGCUGAGAGCGCCAUUUACUGUGGUAUAUCUGAAGUUCAUUCUGGAGAUUCGGAGCUGAAUUAAAAGUAGGUUUCGACGGCAUAGCCGUUAACUUUUGAGAGGCCUUUGUGGCAAUUAGGGUGGUACCGCGGAAAACUUCGUCCCUUUG
rnacentral:ncRNA from 1 species